rfam:TPA: Bos taurus chromosome 2, whole genome shotgun sequence.
UCCCUGCUGGUCCAGUGGCUAUGUCUCUGUACUCCUAAUGCAGGAGGCCCAGGUUCAAUCCCUGGUCAGGGAA